AAGAAACUAAGGUAACUUGCCUCAUAAUAAUAUUAUCUUCGAUAUAUGUAACAGUAAUUGCUAAUGGCUUCGUACAUAGUUGAUGCCAAAAAAAGAAAAACUGGUCGUUGAACUACGCCUGAAACUUCUGUCCGUAUAAUUUACCCAAACAUUCUCUAUAGUAAUUGGCCCAAGGCGAGCAAGUAUAGAACGAGCAUUUAACCCUUCAGGACAGUGUUCCCGGCGUUGUUUGAUUAGCUUGAAUGUUUUUAGAAUUUUAUAUUCUUUGAUUGAACUCUGGCUCUUCUAUUUACUAUAGCAAUUUCUUAUAAUAAGCAGCCGUUGGGAUCAGACUCCCGCUCGCAUGACAUCAGUCUAUGCCUUUCUACUACGUAUGCUAUUUACAUAGGAAAGUUUUGCCGCGUAAAAAUUUGAUGUCAGCACAACAGGCUGAUCUUCAUCCACGUAGAGAUGAUCGUCAUCAAGACUGUUUGGAUUUCUUCCUUCAUCCGUUUCCAUCGCGACUCUCCGCCGUCUCCGGGCCGCUACUGUCGUCGUUGCAAUAGCGAUCAAAUAAAGCAGUAAAAGCGACAAAGCUAACAACGCCAAUAUAGGCAAGAGGUCAUCCUUUUUGUCGCAACAACCGUAACUACUUCCACCGCCAUAACUACUCCCGCCGUAACUGCUCCCACCACCGUAACCAGAGGACGAAGAAUAGCCACCGCCGUAACCACUUCGAUCGGCUUGCAUCUCUUCUGGAUAUUUGUUGUACUGAUUGUACAUUGGAGGACGCCUGCCAGCACCCCGUUUUCUGCUCUGACCGAACACUUCUCUGGCCACCCGCUUAUUCAGUCUUGAUGUGGAGAUCUCAAAAUUUUUCUUCUGGAAGAUACCCAUCAAAGGUGUUACGUAGAGCAGCAUCCGUUUCAAUUCGAGCUCCGAUUCAAGUUCAUCUUCCACUUCUUCAGCUGCGUUGUUGUCUAGUAAUUUAUUGUAGGAAAAAGAGGCCAUAUUGCCCUCAGUUGCGGCAGUCUGUCCGUCCAUCGAGUGGUCGGCUGCGUGACCGGCAAUAAAAAUCAACAGUAGACUACACACAGUUUGUGUGCCAAUGAACUUGAUCAUUUUGUUUACCUUCCGAGUUAACUAGAAUAUGCAAGCGUUUUAGAAGCAGGAAUGGAGAUGGGCAGACUGCAUUUGCCACUGGAUGAAAAUUAACUGACUGAAGCUGCGUAUCUGUGAAUGUGCUUCACUUCCAUAGAAGUACAGUGUUAACGUUAGACUGGACAUCCUCCCGGAAGCUCCUCCUCUCGCUGCGACCCAGCAGGCAAAAGACUCUAGAAAUCAAUUGUUGUUUCUUGCGUGCAGCAUAUAAAUGUAACGGUACAAGAUGUUGGUUCAACUUCUUUAGUUAAUCCGCACAUGAUCCCACGAAGAGACGGUAAUUUUAUUGUAAGCAGUAGACCCUGCGGAGCUAGUAUUAUACAUGCAAAAAAUUAAUCUAUGGAUUUCCUUGACUGCCCUCCGAUCGUUACAGAUACGUAUUAUAAAAUAGCAGACUACAUUAACGAUUUAUUGGCCAUGCCCAGGUGGAAGGACAUCGCUAUCGAUAUGUACCGUCAGCGACGUAAAGAAUAGUGCUACUAGAAAAUAGACGUCAGAAAAUGCAUCUUUACAAAUAAAGUGACAGCAUUACAUCAAGCGUAGAUUACGGCGGAAUCAAUGAGACGUGACGCAAGUGCAUUUAUUGCACGGCAAUAAAUCACGGGAGAGCAGCACCUGUUGGCUUUGCCAGUUGCUACACUAUCGACUAGUUGAGCGGAAAAAAUUCGGAGCCGACAGGUCUUGGGCUUGUCAACCAUGAUGCUUCGGCAAAAUUAUACUGCCUCUCACAUUCGUCAAGAAAAACAAAAUAAA